UCUAGCCAGGUUCCAAAAACCAGAACCUUCCCACCUCCCACUUAAGAGUAACUAACGGCCUCCUCCGGCUGUGGAAUUAUCCUGAUCACUGACAUGGAAUGAUGUUUCCUUGGCUCCGGCACUUCUCACUUGGUUGUUGCCCCUGCCUGUGUUCGUUCCCCAGGUCAGACCACAAGAUUAAAAGAAUAAGGACAGGAGUAACUGGAGAGGAUCGCUGUGGGCCCAGGAAUCUGAGCUCUGAACUGCACAACAAUCGAAGAGUGAUUAUCCACCGUACAUCUGCUAGAGAAGAAGAUAAUUUCUACCAGUGUUUACUGCCUGUCAGGUUCUGGGCUACCCACGUCUUAUGUGUAUUAUCUCACUGCAUCUUCUCAGUGACUAUAUUUACAGAUAGAAAAAUUGAACUUUAG
rnacentral:lncRNA from 12 species